GAAUAUCUUAGCGGCGGACGGGUGAGUAACGCGUGAGAAACCUGCCUUCUACAAAGGGAUAGCCUUGGGAAACCGGGAUUAAUACCUUAUGAAACUUAUAGAUCGCAUGAUUUAAAAGUUAAAGCGUAAAGCGGUGAAAGAUGGUCUCGCGUCCCAUUAGUUUGUUGGUAAGGUAGAAGCUUACCAAGACGUCGAUGGGUAGCCGGCCUGAGAGGGUGAACGGCCACACUGGAACUGAGACACGGUCCAGACUCCUACGGGAGGCAGCAGGUGGGGAAUAUUGCACAAUGGGAAGGAGACUCUGAUGCAGCGACGCCGCGUAGAACGACGAAGGCCUUCGGGUCGUAAAGUUCUGUCCGUUGGGGACGAUAAUGACGGUACCCAAGGAGGAAGCCCCGGCUAACUACGUGCCAGCCGCGGC
rnacentral:rRNA from 1 species